rnacentral:sRNA from 1 species
CAAUGUAGGCAAGGGAAGUC